AUGUACAUUCCCCUUCAAUUCGCAUUCUCAGGAACCCUAAUGUUUUGUUAAAAAAAUGGCGAUGAUGGCUGAGGAAUCGGGCUCCACCCACCAAGGAGAUGGGUGGUUUUGGUUACGAAAUCGGUCGCAUCUAUGCCCCUACUCGGCAAACAGAGAAAGCUGAAGCAAAUCAAAGAACAAAAAAGGAAAAACCGACCCACCCUAAUCGCCACCGAGACCAAACCCUCGGGAAACCAAACCCUCGAAACCUUCCGUACGGUAUGAAGCAGAGCAAUCUUGCUGGGUCAAUGGUCGUUAUAGAUCAAAGGGCGAGACCCGGAUCUUUGAAUAUUCAUGAAUUCCACAGGAAAUCAAACGUAUGCCUCUUCUAGGAGUGCCUUCUUCCUGUUCCUAAGGCAAAAUCCUGUAAAUCAGAUCUUGCAGAACCUAAACAAUAUCUCAGUUGUGGCUCAGGAUUGCAUCGGUGAAGACUAAGGAUCAUUGCAUGCAUGCAAUCUCUGACCAUUUGUGGGGGGUCAAAAUCCCUUGUCAGUAUGAUCAAGUGCUGAUAUAUCCUGUCCACGUUAGAAAUUUGGCUUCGCAUAUCUCAUUGUUCUCCAAACUUGUUACGAAGGUGAAUUUACACUCUUAAUCCUUGUUGAGGUGCGAAAUUUUAUUUGCUAUACAUUCCUUAAGCAUCUCCCAUAAUUUAAAUUAUUUUCUCAUAUUACAUUGGAUUUUAAUUUCUUACAAAAAUACUCAUUUGGAUUUUAUUGUUGUUUCAAUAUGAAGAAACGUUGUGUCAAAACAAUAAGAAAAAUAACAAAAGAGUUUGUCAACUUCAUUUUAGAUAUUACAUAAAUUCAUAUACAGUGUGUAAAUCUUUAUGUUAGAUGAAUAUUUCUUAUCCUCAAUGAUAUCCAUUCUUGAGAUGCCUCAUAUUUGUGAUUUUAUAAGUAAUUUACUUGUCUGUCUGUUUUAUAAGUAAUAGCUGCACAUUUUGACAACUGUUUCCUGAUUGGAUUGUCAACAUCUGCUUAAUGCUUCUAUGUUGCAUACAAAUUAGAAAAACAAGUCAGGGCCAUGUAAAUAAGAAAGUUUGUAAAAAUAACUCUGUUUAAUAAUAAAACAAAUGAAAUUUUGGGUGUUUGGGUGAAGAGAAAUGCGCGGGGAUUGGCCAAGGUUCUCUUCUUCUCUUGUGUGGGUUGGUGUGCUAUGUGUCCCUCUCUUCAUGUCUCUCAUUUGCUUUCUUUCCCUUUCAAUUUUUUUCUCUCUCCAAUUUCACUCUCUUUCUAUCUCUGCAUUUUGUUUCUGCUUUUCCCUCUCCUCUUUCUCUGUAUCCUUUCUCGCUUGAGUUUAUUUCUCUAUUUGGCUUUUUCUUUACUUUCUCUUUUUUGUAAUCUCUUUACUUUUUCUCACUGCUUUUUCUUUAUACUUUUACCCCCUUUUUCUUCUCUAGUUCUUUCUCAACAACACCCUCUACUUUCUUUCUAGUUUUCUACUCUGUUUCUUUUUUACUUUUUCUUGCUGCAUUUUUUCUUUCACUUUUUGUACUAUUUUUCUCUUGUUAAUUUCUCUAUGCACUUUAUUUCUAGUUUGCUUUCGAAAAUUAUUUAUUCCGUAUGCUAUCAAUGCUUAGUUUUGAUGUCCUUAAAAAAAUUUAAACAUAAUAAACAACCUACUAUUAUAAUAUAUACAAAAUUAAAAAUAAAAAUAAAAAUUGAACAUUAAAAAACCACCCAGUAAACAAUUUAGAAAUUGUGAAGUAAACUAUCAAUGCUUAGUUUUGAUGUCCUUAAAAAAAUUUAAACAUAAUAAACAACCUACUAUUAUAAUAUAUACAAAAUUAAAAAUAAAAAUAAAAAUUGAACAUUAAGAAACCACCCAGUAAACAAUUUAGAAAUUGUGAAGUAAACGAUGCAUGUAGUGAUAAAAAUUUAUAAGAAAUUAAAGACAGUUUUUUUUUUUUUUUUUCCCCAAAAGUGGAAUUUUUUUUUUUUAUUUUUUUUUUGAAAAAGACAAGUUAAGAAUUUUUAUUUUUUAUUUUUUUAUUAUAACAAAAACUAAAAAAACAUUGAAUGUAACAGAAAAAAUUCAAAAGACUGAAAUCCAAAUGCACAAGCUAGGAAAGUAAAGGAGAAUGAACUUGAUGUAAAGAAUAUUAAGAAAAGUAAUUGCUAAAGUAAGAAAUCAACAAAAUUUUGAUAUUGUUUUAAAAGGAAUAUUGCUAAAUUUUAAUAUAUAUUUUUACUCUUUCAUUAAAAAAGCUCUUUUAAGAAAGUGAAAAAACAUGUAACCUAUAAACUGGAUGUUAAGAAAGAAAAUGUUAAGAAGCUAGUAGCUAAAGUAAGAAAUCAGCAAAAUUUUUAUAUUUUUUAAAUGGAUAUUGCUAAAUUUUAAUAUAUAUUUUUAUUCUUUUAUUAAAAAACUUAUGUAUUUUAUUUUAUUUUUGAAGGAAAAUUACUUGUAUAUUUAAUACAUACUCUAAAGUAAUAUAUAUUCUAAAUUUUAAUAUCAUUAAAAUUUCUGGGAAAUUCUUUCAUUACAUAUAAUAUAGCUCAUAAUCUUAAAGAUAAAAGACUUGCGAUUUUCAAAAAAAGAAAAAAAGAAAAAAAAAAAGAAAGAAAAAAGGAUAAAAGACGUGCUGGAUGGUUAUUUUUAAUAAUUAUCAAAAUGAAUAGAAAUGUACUAAAACGUUAAAAAAUUUAAUCUAGGAGAACACUUGGCUGUAAUUAAUUGAUAUAAUCAAGGACAUCAAGUAGGAUUUUAUAAGAAAGUAUUGAUAGCUUGUGGAAUAAAUUGUUUACUUUGUGGCAAUAGCCAAAUGGAGAAAGAAACUAGAAUGAGGAGCUAGAUUAAUUAGAAAGCGAAUGUAGUGGGAAAAGUGUACCAAGAGAAAGUGGUGAUAGAAAGUUUAAAAGAUAAUAAGAGAUUAGAGGUCUAUGGAGGAAGUGUUAGAAGUGUAGAGAAAGUGUAGAUGAAGAAAAUGGUGGAAGGUGUAAGAAAAAGUGGAAAGAAAUGUAAAUAAGAGAGAAAUUAAAAGAGAGAGUGAAGACAAAAUGUAGAUGGAUAAUAUGAUUUAAGUGAAAAAGUAAAGGGAAGGAAGGUAGAGUAUAUAAAAGUGGAGAUAGAAUGCUGAAAACUAAAGAAAUGGAGGAAAAUAGAGAAAAAAAUGGAAGAGAAAGUAAGUAGAGAGAUGAAGAUAGAAGGGAGGAAAAGUAGAAAGUUAAAGAAAGGGAGGGGGAGUUUUUGAUAUUUUGAUUUUUUUUCCUUUUAAGUAUAUGUGUAAUGUACAUUCAUUGUAAAUUCAAUUGCAAUAACUUUUGGCUUCUAUUAUUUAAAAAAAAAUAAAAAUUAUUGUCUUUUUAUUUACUUCACUAGAAUACAAAGAUUUUCUUUGUCAAUUCCAACUCGAACCAACAAUAUCUUUGUUUAGCUAACCAUAGGCAAAAAAAUAAAAAAUAAAACUAGCACUUACUUUUCUAUAUAAAAUCUAUAUAGAAGACCCUGAUGAGAUGGUAUCAUAUGCUUGAAUAAAUUAAGGCACUAUUCCAAAGAUGAUGACGAUUUGGCUGAACACCCACCAAAUUUACCAAUAAGAAGCGCAUUGCAAUAACUUUUGGCUUCUAUUAUUUUAAAAAAUAUAUUAUUGUCUUUUUAUUUCCUUCACUAGAAUAUUUUGUCAAUUCCAACUCGAACCGACAGUAUUGGUUUGGCUUCCAUAGUUUGUUUUGCUAACCAUAGGCUGAAAAAAAUCAAACCAGCACAUAGUCCUCUAUACAAAAUUGAGGCCUUGAUGAGAUGGUAUUAUAUACUUGAACAAAUUGAGGCCAUUAUUCCAAGGAUGAUGAUUAUAACUCUAAGGAUGAUGAUGAUUUCGAUGAACACCCACCAAAUUCACCAAUAAGAUCAUCCAUAUUCAGAUUUUCCUGGGAAUAGACAUGUCCAUCUUCUACAAAAAAUGUUCAGGUGGUUCGCUUUUGAUAAUCAAAAAACAAUCAAGUAAGAUUCUCUUCUUCUUUAGCUUUAUAAAAGUAGAUAUCAGUAUCCAUUUAACUGCAGUUCAUGUUCUCACUCUGGCACAACCCUGCAGUUAUAGAUAAAUCAGAACAAAUACGAAUGCAUUUGUUAUUCUGCCGUUAGUCAUUUACAAACUUUUUUCCACACUAUUUUAAGAAUUUGUUUUUUCUAUGAUUUGAAAAGUUUAGAGGAUAGUCAAAAGUCAAUUAUUUUUAAUACAAUAUUACUGUGUCGAGAAAAAAAAAAAAAAAACUCACUAAUAAUUUAAAAUCUUGACAGAUUUUUAUAGAGCUACUAUUGUUGCAAUAUGCAAUUUAAUAUUAUUAUUAUUAUUAUUACUUUACAAAAAAUGCAUUUUUUUUUUUUAAUAAAAGAACAUGACAGUAUACUGUUUUGAUACACAAACCACUAUAGUGGACUAGCAAAGGCAUAUGGGCCGAUGAGCCUUGUGACCCAGCUUCCAAAGUGGGCCUAAGAUUCGUCCACUCAUUUGACUCGAUAUGGCAAUGAGCUGUGUGACCCACCUUCCAAAGUGGGCUUAAGAUUGGUCCACUCAUUUGACUCGAUAUGGCAAUGAGCCGUGUGACCCAACUUCCAAAGUAGGCCUGAGAUUUGUCCACCCAUUCGACUCGAUAUUUUUGCAUAUGUAUGUACGAUUAUUAUUAUUAUUAUUAUUUUUAAUACCAUGGUAUUGAAUUUUCUGCAUUGAAAUGGGAAAAGAUUAAGUUGAAAAUGGUGUGAAGAAUGGCGAAUUGUUUCAUACAAAAAAUAUGUCAAAUUAAUUAUUAUGUAAGUUAUCUUUCACUAAAUAUUGGUUUGAAUUUGAACCCACACAAAGAGAGUAGCUGGGUAUGGACCCAGUUCUUGUUUGUUUGUACGGAUAUGCAAAAUUUUAACCUUGCUAAUGGAAGUUAAAUCAUGCCAAAACGUACAAUUUUUUUUGUCCUGUUAGAUCAUUCCUUUUGUACCCUCUUAUUUCUCUCUCACCCCUUUUUUUUGGGAAAAUAUUUAAAGAAGAAGAAGAGCUAGCAAGAGCCUACAACAAACACAAUACUUGGAGGUUCUGUGCCAUUAGUUAUUGAUGAUGGUUUUUGCUAUAUAGCUUUUCUUGGAAAUUAGAAGAGCCUACAACAAACACAAACACAAUGCUGCACUUGACCAAUUAAAUUUGAGUUCAGAUUCAACCACAUUUUUGGCUUGAUAUUGAUCUUUUUCAAAGUCAGUUAAUAUGAAGGGGAAGCUCUAGUUUAUAUUAACAAACUGUCUUUCGUCUGUAAUAAAUCAUGAUUUUGUAUUCUUUGCUUACAAAGCAUAUAAAUAUAUGUCCGUUAUUCCAUUCCAUAUUUAUGUCUAGAGGGUUUCACUAGAAGAUUUUUUUUGUUUUUUUAAGUCACAAAAUUCUGACAAUAAAAUCAAAUUCUGUCACAAAAGCUAUAUAUAUAUAUAUAUAUAUAGAUGUAUAUACUUUUAUUUAUUUGUAAAUGGAGCAGCAAUUUAUAUCAUAAGCCUUAAUGCUUGGACGAAAAGAAAAAGAAAACAAUUCCCUAAGCUUAAUGAAGGUUUCAAAACAAUUGCAUAUAAAUUGUUGUGGAAAGAAAAAAGGAAAGACAGGAAAUAUAUUCUAAAGUGAAGGAGAGGCAGGACAUGGCGCCUAUUUUCAGUGGUUUUACCACUUGGUUAAGCUUAGGAAAUUCUUUAGAUAAUAUAUAUAUAUAUUUUUUUUCAAAUUUCUUGUUUCUAGAAAUAAAUAAAACUAAGUGAUUGUACUAUAUUUCUUAACUCUAAGAUCAGUUGCCUGCACCGGGACCGCUACCUUGGAAUAUCUCAUCAUUAAUAGUUUUGAUUUGUUGGAGAGAAUAGGCGAUGACUUUUACAGUGAUGCUGGUGAUGAUGGUGAUUUAUUCUCCUUGUGUGAUAAGUAAACCAUUCAAGUUGUUAAAUUGCUUGGAAUUUUCAAGAAUUGCGGGGUGGAGGGAGUGGUAAAUGGUGAACAUAGAAGAAGGUUGUGGAGUUUUCUAGGAGCUUGAGUUGUCACACUGUCCAAGGCUAAAAGGGGAAUGCUUAAUGGAAUAUCUUUUAUUAUUGGAAACUUUAGGAUAAUUGAAAGUCACAAUGCUCCAAAACCUGAAGCUAUUUCCUUAGGUGAGGGAUAAGGGAUUUCGAUUGAGUUUCUACAAUCUAAAACAUCUUUCUUUCUGCCAUCACCUGCAUAGCUUACCAGAAGAAGUUCUUCUCAUUUCUCUUUCCUUUUUGACUACCUAACUUACUAUGUCCUUAACUACAACUCAUAUGAUCAAAACAUGCAUGUUUCCCUGCUUGUCAUAUAAUGUAUCGCCUUAGUAAGAAAGAUCUCUAACUAGGGUUUUCCAGUUCAAACUAUUUUCUUUUUGAGGCUUUUUGUUUUUCAAACCGUUGUAUAAUAUAUAUGCUCUCGUUGUAAUCGGAACUGAGUAAGAUUCACUUAUAUUUUCUUUACAUAGAUGUAGUUAUACUUCAUAUAAUGUUCGAUACUCAUUUUUAUGCAGUCCAUAUCCUGUAAUAAUAUCCUCUGUUAUCUGCCUCUAAAGUCCCAAACAGAGAAAAAGAAAACGCGGUGAAUUUCUUAUUUUGAUCUUGGUAUGUUGCACAUUCUUUCCUUUUCUAUCAUAACUAACUUGUGAUAAUGUCUCAUUUCUAACUUCUCUUAAUAUAAUUUAUGAUUCUGGAAGCAAACUUUUGUUAUUCAAAUUAGCUGAUUCAAUAACCGAACUCUUUUCGGUUUUGAAAUACAGCUUUAGCUCAUCUUCACCAUUUCAGUCUUCCGGUAAUUAAUACCUGCUGCCACAGAUUCUUUGAUUGUUUCAAAGUGGUUGUGGGAACUGGGAAUUGAGUCCAUAUCCAAGAAACUAUGAAACUUCAUUUUCUGUAAUCCCAGCACAUGGUUGUUGGUGUUUUUGUGUCCUCUACUUUUCAUAGCUAUUCAACAUGUGGCUCUUGUCUAUUGCAGUUAGCAUCCCUGCAAAACUGAUUGCAUUUUAGAUAUUUGAGUUCCUAAAGAUGAACUUCCUUAGUUCAUAGAGGUGACAAAAACUCCAUAUCACACAUUAAGGAAAGGACAAUUAUUUAUUUUAUACCAGCUUCAACCUAAGACUGCCGGUUUUUCUGCACGAAAUUAGAGGAUGUUUAAAGCAUAUGACAGCGGGGUACUGCCAGUAAUAGGUUAUCUGCUGCUAUUUGUAAGAUCUGCUUCUUUGGCUGUUGCACCAAUGUACCUAUCUUGUAUUAUACUUAUGUUGCAACUAGGUAUUAUACUUGUGUUGCAACUAGCAUCUCCUUAUGAAAUUAAUAGGUUACUUGAUGCUUUUUAGAGUUGUCUUCCAUGUGAUAGUCUUGUUUUGGUGCCUCUUUCCUUCUAUCAAAUCUCGCUGUUUGUCCUUCUCUUUAUGUUUCUAACUCCAGAAAUUUUUGUGCAUAAUCUUUGGAAGCAUAGAGAUAAAUGUGUGUCAUUACUUUUUAUAACUUCAAGAAUUCUUGACAGGGCUAUAAUUUGCUGACUAAUCUUCGAUUGGCCUGAACGAAUCCGCCUGAUUUCACUAUGGCUCAUACCAACAACUGGUGGAACCUUGAUUAUUAAAUUUUGAUUAUUGGAGUAUCUGCAGCAUACCAAGAAAAAACGCUAAUCUUAUUGAAUAACUAUUAGAAUUUAAUUGUGUAAUAAAACUUUCAUGAUGGCAUUUGUCACUUUUUUGUUUAAUUUUGUUCUUGCAUGACUUGUAGCAGAAGAUAUUGUAAUUCAGUUCUAGCUGUGAACAUGCAUUUUCCUUUA